UUCUUCCAGUGACGAUGACAUUUUGGUGCGUACAUUCGACGAGGAAGAUCCUCAACUCGAGUUGAUGCGUCAGAUGAAUGAGCUAGCGACGCUGAACGACGUGGACCCAACACCGAGGAUUCAGUGAGUCAUCGAAAUUUUGAACGCAUAUUGCACUUCCGGGUUAGUCCUGGAAGUAUGCCUGUAUCAGUGUCC
rnacentral:rRNA from 1 species